rnacentral:rRNA from 1 species
GAUGAACGCUGACAGAAUGCUUAACACAUGCAAGUCGACUUGAACUUCGGUUUGGGUGGCGGACGGGUGAGUAACGCGUAAAGAACUUGCCUCACAGAUAGGGACAACAUUUGGAAACGAAUGCUAAUACCUGAUAUUAUGAUUAUAUGGCAUCGUAUAAUUAUGAAAGCUAUAUGCGCUGUGAGAGAGCUUUGCGUCCCAUUAGCUAGUUGGAGAGGUAACGGCUCACCAAGGCGAUGAUGGGUAGCCGGCCUGAGAGGGUGAUCGGCCACAAGGGGACUGAGACACGGCCCUUACUCCUACGGGAGGCAGCAGUGGGGAAUAUUGGACAAGGGACCAAGAGUCUGAUCCAGCAAUUCUGUGUGCACGAUGAAGUUUUUCGGAAUGUAAAGUGCUUUCAGUUGGGAAGAAAAAAAUGACGGUACCAACAGAAGAAGUGACGGCUAAAUACGUG